UACGGAGGGUGCAAGCGUUAUCCGGAUUCACUGGGUUUAAAGGGUGCGUAGGUGGGUUGGUAAGUCAGUGGUGAAAUCCCCGAGCUUAACUUGGGAACUGCCAUGGAUACUAUUUGUCUUGAAUAUUGUGGAGGUCAGCGGAAUAUGUCAUGUAGCGGUGAAAUGCUUAGAUAUGACAUAGAACACCAAUUGCGAAGGCAGCUGGCUACACAGUUAUUGACGCUGAGGCACGAAAGCGUGGGGAUCAAACAGG
rnacentral:rRNA from 1 species